rnacentral:rRNA from 1 species
UACGUAGGCAGCAAGCGUUGUUCGGAGUUACUGGGCGUAAAGGGUGCGUAGGUGGCUCUAUAAGUAUGGUGUGAAAUCUCCCGGCUUAACUGGGAGGGUGCGCCGUAGACUGUGGGGCUAGAGUGUGGGAGAGGAAAGUGGAAUUCCGGGUGUAGCGGUGGAAUGCGUAGAGAUCCGGAAGAACACCGGUGGCGAAGGCGGCCUGCUGGGCUAUGGCUGACACUGAGGCGCGACAGCGUGGGGAGCAAACAGG